rnacentral:rRNA from 1 species
GAGCUCGUAGGCGGUUUGUCGCGUCUGCUGUGAAAUCCCGAGGCUCAACCUCGGGCUUGCAGUGGGUACGGGCAGACUAGAGUGCGGUAGGGGAGAUUGGAAUUCCUGGUGUAGCGGUGGAAUGCGCAGAUAUCAGGAGGAACACCGAUGGCGAAGGCAGAUCUCUGGGCCGUAACUGACGCUGAGGAGCGAAAGCAUGGGGAGCGAACAGGAUUAGAUACCCUGGUAGUCCAUGCCGUAAACGUUGGGCGCUAGAUGUAGGGACCUUUCCACGGUUUCUGUGUCGUAGCUAACGCAUUAAGCGCCCCGCCUGGGGAGUACGGCCGCAAGGCUAAAACUCAAAGGAAUUGACGGGGGCCCGCACAAGCGGCGGAGCAUGCGGAUUAAUUCGAUGCAACGCGAAGAACCUUACCAAGGCUUGACAUACACCGGAAACGGCCAGAGAUGGUCGCCCCCUUGUGGUCGGUGUACAGGUGGUGCAUGGUUGUCGUCAGCUCGUGUCGUGAGAUGUUGGGUUAAGUCCCGCAACGAGCGCAACCCUCGUUCUAUGUUGCCAGCGGGUUAUGCCGGGGACUCAUAGGAGACUGCCGGGGUCAACUCGGAGGAAGGUGGGGAUGACGUCAAAUCAUCAUGCCCCUUAUGUCUUGGGCUUCACGCAUGCUACAAUGGCCGGUACAAAGGGCUGCGAUACCGUAAGGUGGAGCGAAUCCCAAAAAGCCGGUCUCAGUUCGGAUUGAGGUCUGCAACUCGACCUCAUGAAGUCGGAGUCGCUAGUAAUCGCAGAUCAGCAACGCUGCGGUGAAUACGUUCCCGGGCCUUGUACACACCGCCCGUCAAGUCAUGAAAGUCGGUAACACCCGAAGCCGGUGGCCUAACCCUUGUGGAAGGAGCCGUCGAAGGUGGGAUCGGUGAUUAGGACGAGUCGUA